rnacentral:rRNA from 1 species
UGAGGAAUAUUGCGCAAUGGCCGAAAGGCUGACGCAGCGACGCCGCGUGGGGGAUGACGGCCUUCGGGUUGUAAACCCUUGUCAGUGGGGAAGAAAAAAAUGACUGUACCCACAGAGGAAGCCCCGGCUAACUACGUGCCAGCAGCCGCGGUAAGACGUAGGGGGCGAGCGUUGUUCGGAAUUACUGGGCGUAACGAGCUCGUAGGCUGGGAAUUAAGUCUUGGAAUAAAUCUCCCGGCUUAACCGGGAACAAUUUAGAGAUACUGAUUUUCUUGAGAACAGGAGAGGGGAAUGGAAUUCCUAGUGUAGCGGUGAAAUGCGUAGAGAUUAGGAGGAACACCAGUGGCGAAGGCGGUUCUCUGGCCUGUUUCUGACGCUGAGGAGCGAAAGCUGGGGGAGCGAACG